UACGAAGGGGGCUAGCGUUGCUCGGAAUGACUGGGCGUAAAGGGCGCGUAGGCGGAUGGUACAGUCAGAUGUGAAAUUCCCGGGCUUAACCUGGGGGCUGCAUUUGAUACGUGUUGUCUAGAGUGAGGAAGAGGGUCGUGGAAUUCCCAGUGUAGAGGUGAAAUUCGUAGAUAUUGGGAAGAACACCGGUGGCGAAGGCGGCGACCUGGUCCUUUACUGACGCUGAGGCGCGAAAGCGUGGGGAGCGAACAGG
rnacentral:rRNA from 1 species